rnacentral:rRNA from 1 species
UACGUAGGUGGCAAGCGUUGUUCGGAAUUAUUGGGCGUAAAGGGCGCGUAGGCGGUUUGUUAAGUCGGCUGUGAAAGCCCGGGGCUCAACCCCGGAGGGUCAGCCGAUACUGGCAGACUAGAGUACGGAAGAGGUAGCUGGAAUUCCCGGUGUAGCGGUGAAAUGCGUAGAUAUCAGGAGGAACACCGAUGGCGAAGGCAGGUCUCUGGGCAUUAACUGACGCUGAGGAGCGAAAGCAUGGGGAGCGAACAGG